rnacentral:miRNA from 1 species
CUCCGUCCUAAUAUAUAAGGC